GACGAACGCUGGCGGCGUGCCUAAUACAUGCAAGUAGAACGCUGAAGGAAGGAGCUUGCUCUUUCCGGAUGAGUUGCGAACGGGUGAGUAACGCGUAGGUAACCUGCCUGGUAGCGGGGGAUAACUAUUGGAAACGAUAGCUAAUACCGCAUAACAGUAGAUGUUGCAUGAUAUCUACUUAAAAGGUGCAAUUGCACCACUACCAGAUGGACCUGCGUUGUAUUAGCUAGUUGGUGAGGUAACGGCUCACCAAGGCGACGAUACAUAGCCGACCUGAGAGGGUGAUCGGCCACACUGGGACUGAGACACGGCCCAGACUCCUACGGGAGGCAGCAGUAGGGAAUCUUCGGCAAUGGACGGAAGUCUGACCGAGCAACGCCGCGUGAGUGAAGAAGGUUUUCGGAUCGUAAAGCUCUGUUGUAAGAGAAGAACGAGUGUGAGAGUGGAAAGUUCACACUGUGACGGUAGCUUACCAGAAAGGGACGGCUAACUACGUG
rnacentral:rRNA from 1 species